ACUUUACAGGCAGCAGCCACACCACGUCUUGCAGGACUGUGAGAAAAUGCCUCCCUGCCUUAUCUCACUCAUUUGCUCGUGAGCAGGCCCCUGGGUCUGAGUGCAGGAGGAGGUGAAAAAUGGCUGGAAAUAUACAGCACAAAUCACAGAGGGAGGGAUUUUACUGCCCUUUACAGCUAGAGAAUACGCCAAACCUGCCAAGGAUGAUCAAAAUCCUUUGGUUGCAUCUCAGGGCACUCGUGUAAAGAGAAGCUCUUCCUUGACACUUACACAGAUCAAGUAUUUGCUGUCACAGAGAUUAUACAAGCCAGAUAACCUCACCUCAUCUGCUAUCACCUUUCAGACGAAAUCCUGAUGUCUCAGUACCCUACCGAGCCUGGAAAGGAAUAUCCUCCUCCCAGAUCUCCGCGGUCUUCCUGGCACUGCCGGAAAACUCGUAUUUCUGCUGAUGCCAUCCAUCUCUUUUUUUCUUCAAUUCUCAAAUUUCUUGAACUCUGAGAUUUUUUUUUUUAAGAAAUAACCGAUGACAUAAUGAUUUCCAUUAGCUACAAAAUCCAAACUUCAUCUCCUCUGGGCCAGCUAAUCUAUCUAGCGAUGUUUUCCUGUACCCCAUGAUCUCCUAGUAUUGAUAAGGAUGGUUAUACCUUUGUUCUUAUUCCCUAGUGAUAAAAUGCAAGAGGCUUAGAAAAGUUAUUCAGAUAUUGCCUGUCUUGACCACUACUGUCAGGAGGAUGCAGAUGCUGGCAGUCUGGAUCAGACUAGUGGUCCAUCUACUUCAGCCUCCUGUCUCUUGACUUUUUUUUUUUUUGUAAAUUUUGUUGUGUUCUCAGGCAUUAAAAUGUACAUUUCCCUCAACCACGUUAUAAUCAAUAUUAUUGUCACUCUGAAGGUUCUCAUUAUUCUUGACCUUGGAGCUGCCUUGUGACUGUGAGUUCCACCGAUUGGGUUUGUUUGUUAAUUUGCGAAAGGAGUGAUUGUUCUCUGUGUAUUUUCUCUUGAUGCUGUUCUGGAAAUGUGUCUUCUGCUAGGUUUCAACUAACUGCUUUUAGUACUUCCUUUAUCAUUAUUCUUGUACUAU
rnacentral:lncRNA from 1 species